GAGCUGUGGCGGCGGUGGCGGCGGCGGUAGUGGCGGCGGCUCCCGGGCGGCAGCGGGAGCGGCAGCCCUGAGGAGGGUGAGACGGCGGCGGUGGCGGCAGCUCGGAGUCGGGCAGCGCCUGAAGCUUCCCGCCCGUCGCUGGCGCUAGGCCCCCGUGCUCUCCUCCGCCGGGUCUUCCUCACGGCCCUGGCCGGGGCAGGGCAGCGCGCCCCCGGGGAGGGCGGAGCCGUAGAUAAUGGCGUAAGCUAUUUCUUCAAGAUUGGACAGCUGAGGACCUGUUAUUUCUGAUUAGCCUUAAGCGGACUUACAGCCAUAGAGAAACCUCAGAGAGUUCCAUAUUUUGGUUUUGCUUUACACUUGUCCUGGCACCUGAAUUCACUUGCAACCAUGUAUGGAAGUGCUCGCUCAGUUGGGAAGGUGGAAUCAAGCAACCAGAGCCCUGGGCGUUCACCUAGGCUUCCACGUUCCCCUCGCUUGGGUCAUCGUCGAACCAAUAGUACAGGAGGGAGUUCUGGAAGCAGUGUCGGAGGUGGCAGUGGGAAAACCCUUUCAAUGGAGAAUAUUCAAUCCUUGAAUGCUGCCUAUGCCACUUCUGGCCCUAUGUACCUAAGUGACCAUGAAAAUGUGGGUUCAGAAACACCUAAAAGCACCAUGACACUUGGCCGAUCUGGAGGACGUCUGCCUUAUGGUGUGAGGAUGACUGCCAUGGGCAGUAGCCCCAAUAUAGCGAGCAGUGGGGUUGCUAGUGACACUAUCGCAUUUGGAGAGCAUCACCUCCCUCCUGUGAGCAUGGCAUCUACCGUUCCUCACUCUCUUCGUCAGGCAAGAGAUAAUACAAUCAUGGAUCUUCAGACACAGCUGAAGGAAGUAUUAAGAGAGAAUGAUCUCUUGCGAAAGGAUGUAGAAGUAAAGGAGAGCAAAUUAAGUUCUUCAAUGAAUAGCAUCAAGACCUUCUGGAGCCCAGAGCUGAAGAAAGAACGAGCCCUGAGAAAAGAUGAAGCUUCCAAAAUCACUAUUUGGAAGGAACAGUAUAGAGUUGUGCAGGAGGAAAACCAGCACAUGCAAAUGACAAUCCAGGCUCUGCAGGAUGAAUUGCGGAUCCAGAGGGACCUGAACCAGCUGUUUCAACAAGAUAGUAGCAGUAGGACUGGUGAACCUUGUGUGGCAGAGCUGACGGAGGAGAACUUUCAGAGGUUGCAUGCUGAGCAUGAGCGACAGGCCAAAGAACUCUUCCUUCUUCGAAAAACUCUGGAGGAAAUGGAACUACGGAUUGAGACUCAGAAGCAAACCCUGAAUGCUCGGGAUGAAUCCAUCAAGAAGCUUCUGGAGAUGUUGCAGAGCAAGGGCCUUUCUGCUAAGGCUACUGAGGAAGACCAUGAGAGAACAAGGAGACUGGCAGAGGCAGAGAUGCACGUCCAUCACCUAGAAAGCCUUUUGGACCAGAAGGAAAAAGAGAAUGCUCUGUUGAGAGAGGAGAUGCAUCGGAGAUUUGAGAAUGCCCCGGAUUCUGCCAAAACUAAAGCUCUGCAAACUGUUAUUGAGAUGAAGGAUUCAAAAAUUUCCUCUAUGGAGCGUGGGCUCCGAGACUUGGAAGAAGAGAUUCAGAUGCUGAAAUCAAAUGGGGCUUUGAGUACUGAGGAACGAGAAGAAGAAAUGAAGCAAAUGGAGGUCUAUCGCAGCCAUUCCAAGUUUAUGAAAAAUAAGGUAGAGCAACUGAAGGAGGAGCUAAAUUCCAAAGAGGCUCAAGGGGAGGAGCUGAAAAAGAGAGCGGCUGGUCUUCAGGCCGAGGUCUUUGCCAUUGGUCAGGUGAAGCAGGAAUUGUCCAGGAAGGACACAGAACUACUAGCCCUACAGACAAAGCUAGAAACACUCACAAACCAGUUCUCAGACAGCAAGCAGCACAUUGAAGUGUUGAAGGAGUCCUUGACGGCUAAGGAGCAGAGGGCCGCCAUCCUGCAGACUGAGGUGGAUGCUCUGCGGUUGCGUUUGGAGGAGAAGGAAACCAUGCUGAAUAAGAAGACAAAACAGAUCCAGGAUAUGGCUGAGGAGAAGGGGACACAAGCUGGAGAGAUCCAUGACCUCAAGGACAUGCUGGAUGUGAAGGAGCGGAAAGUUAAUGUUUUGCAGAAGAAGAUUGAAAAUCUCCAAGAGCAACUUAGAGAUAAGGAAAAGCAGAUGAGCAGCUUGAAGGAGCGAGUCAAAUCAUUGCAGGCUGACACCACCAACACUGACACUGCCUUGACAACUUUGGAGGAGGCCCUUGCGGAGAAGGAGCGGACUAUUGAACGCUUAAAGGAGCAGCGGGACCGAGAUGAGCGAGAAAAACAGGAGGAAAUUGAUAACUACAAAAAAGAUCUUAAAGAUUUGAAAGAAAAAGUCAGCCUAUUGCAAGGCGACCUCUCAGAGAAAGAGGCUUCACUCUUGGAUCUGAAAGAACAUGCUUCUUCUCUGGCUUCCUCAGGACUGAAAAAGGACUCACGGCUUAAGACACUAGAAAUUGCUUUGGAGCAGAAGAAGGAAGAGUGUCUGAAAAUGGAAUCACAGUUGAAAAAGGCACAUGAGGCAACAUUGGAAGCCAGAGCCAGUCCAGAGAUGAGUGAUCGAAUACAGCAGUUGGAGAGAGAGAUUGCCAGGUACAAAGAUGAAUCUAGCAAAGCCCAGGCAGAAGUUGACCGCCUCUUGGAAAUCUUGAAGGAGGUGGAAAAUGAGAAGAACGACAAAGAUAAGAAGAUUGCUGAGUUGGAAAGAAAGCCAGUUUCCCGCAAUCUGUACCUUCCACGCCAGGUUUCUGUCCCUGCACCGUCAGGGGGGUUUGUUUGGGACUUCCUGGGAAAUCUCACUUCAAGGCAGGUGAAAGACCAGAAUAAGAAGGUGGCCAAUCUGAAGCACAAGGAGCAGGUGGAGAAGAAGAAGAGUGCCCAGAUGCUGGAGGAGGCUCGGCGCCGGGAAGAUGACCUCAAUGACAGCUCACAGCAGCUGCAGGACAGUCUCCGUAAGAAGGAUGACAGGAUUGAAGAGCUGGAAGAAGCAUUAAGAGAAAGUGUACAGAUAACUGCAGAGCGAGAGAUGGUGCUGGCACAAGAGGAGUCAGCCAGGACCAAUGCUGAAAAACAGCUGUUGAGUGAAAUGUUGCAUGAGACCAGUCAUUUGGGCUUUAAGUGGUUUAAGGUGGAGGAGUUACUGAUGGCCAUGGAGAAAGUAAAACAGGAGCUCGAGUCCAUGAAAGCGAAGCUGUCCUCAACGCAGCAGUCACUGGCAGAGAAGGAAACUCAUUUAACCAACCUUCGGGCUGAGAGAAGGAAACACUUAGAGGAAGUUCUGGAGAUGAAGCAGGAAGCCCUUCUGGCCGCCAUCAGUGAGAAGGAUGCCAACAUAGCUCUUUUGGAGCUUUCGUCCUCCAAGAAAAAGACCCAGGAGGAAGUGGCCGCCCUGAAGCGGGAGAAGGACCGGCUGGUGCAGCAGCUCAAGCAGCAGACACAAAAUCGAAUGAAGCUAAUGGCGGACAAUUAUGAGGAUGACCACUUCAGAUCCUCCCAUUCCAAUCAAACCAAUCAUAAACCCUCCCCAGACCAGGAUGAGGAGGAGGGUAUAUGGGCAUAGUCAACCACAUCCUCCUAGUUCAGCCAUUUUGUUCAGAACGAACAUCCAGCCCCUCUUAGAACUUGACCAAAAUAGAAGCAAACUAAAGUUGUACAUUGGACACCUGACGGCCCUCUGCCAUGACCGAGACCCCCUGAUCCUUCGAGGACUCACUCCACCAGCUUCCUACAACUUGGACGAUGACCAGGCAGCGUGGGAGAAUGAGCUACAAAAGAUGACCCAGGAGCAGCUUCAGAACGAGUUAGAGAAAGGUGAGCGAGAUAAUACGGAGCUGCAGGAGUUUGCCAACGCCGUCCUCCAGCAGAUAGCAGACCACUGCCCCGACAUCCUGGAGCAGGUGGUCAAUGCGCUAGAAGAGUCAUCCUGACCGUCUUCGUGGGGAGGGGAUGGCCCAGCAGUCCAACAAGUGAACCCAGCAGCCAGGCAAGGAGAAGUACGAGGACCAGGCACCCAGCAGCUUCUUGGCACAAACACAGGACCUCUGUCUGUCCUGGCCAGCCCUCGAACAUGGUUUCAGCUCUGUUCCCACAUCUGUUCUCUCCCUCCACCUUUCUGCUCUGAUGUUGUCUCUACACUGAUUCUUCUGAUGUCCAGGGUGGGUAAGUAGCCAGGUCUCCUCGAAGAGCUGCCAUCCAGUCCUGAGCCCUGAACACCUUGGAUGCUGGCGGCUACACCCUCUCACCUCUGUCCUUGACGUGGGGACUACACCUGGAAUCUGCAGGUUCAACACGAAGAGAACGCUCCAGAGGGCCGAGUGUUCUAAUACCACAACAGGUGCUUUCUCCCCAAAGGGUAAAAAAAUCUCAAAAAGAGUAUCACAGAAGAGAAAAGGGGAAAGAGAGCAUGGCAGAGAAGAACCCAAUUCUUCUUCGUUCUGUCUCUCCAGCUUCCACUGCACUCGGGACAUCUGUGCAGGGGCUGCGGGCAGCUGCAGUGGCCCAGGGUUAGAGCCUUCCUACCCUCCUGCCCCCGGUCCUUGGUCCUCUCCUCACUAGCCUGAGUCACUCAUUGAGAGAAGAGGGCACUGUCACCACCUCUGAGGUCUGCUUCUGGGAAGGGGACAUUCCUUGGGGUCAGGCCAGUUUCUCCUAACAUCUCCCCUGCCAGCCGUCUGGGCCCCAGAGAGUGCUUCUGCCUCCACCCCCACACCCCCAGUUCCAAGCCAGCCCCCCAUCCUCCACUUUAGCCUUUCUCCUGAUCUGUGCCCCCAGAACCAGAGCCUUGCACAGUGCCUGGAACCUGCUUCUGGGACAAAUCAGUGCUUCUCAUCCCUUCCCCUUUCUUUGAUUCAGAUAAUGUUUAUGAAGUGCCUACUGUGUGCAAGUCAUACCAGGCACCUGUCCUUAAAGCCUCUCUGCGGUGAAGGAGGGGUGUCAUUCUGUGAGAAACACCUGGUCGAGUCAGAGCAAUAAAAGACAUACCCUUCCCUUCCCCAUCUUAAUAGAAGGUGUCUUUUCCAGAAAAAUCUUCCACAAAUCAGCACUUCUCAUUAUAAUGGAAUUUAUGAGUUUGGGGGGCAAGGGGCUAGUCAUUUACCACAGGAUCCCAUUUGGUAACUCGGGAUUUUUGGUGUUUGUUUCCCUGAAAGAGCUUUCCACAUGUGGAGCUACCAUAGUAGACCGUGUUUCCUUUAUACACCUGUGUGCACCUUGUGGCUGGCUCCAAGUAGCAAAUCCGAAAAUUGACUAGUUGCAGAUCUGGUCGAAGGUAUCGAGGUUUUCCCCAGGCAGAGACAAUGGCAGUCAUAAAUCUCAGGCACCAAGAAUUAGACCACUUAACCCAAAUCGAGCCCUUUGACCCAUCUACGGCCAGACCCCACCAGACACUCACAUCCUCUGAUAAGAGUUGCUGGGCUAAAUGGUUUUGUCUUGCAUUUUCUUCCUUCCCCUUCCCCUUCCCCAAUUACUCAUCCAAAGAAUCUGAUGCUGCCUGUCAGGUCAUCAUAGCCAUCAGUCCUGUAUCUUCCACCAGCAGCCCUUGACUGUCCCAUUAACUUAUAUGGUCACGUCCCCCGCUGCGCUGACUCCCUGCUGUAAAACAGUCUCUCCCUGUGAGACACUGUCGAGUGCUCCUUAUCAAAGCUUAGAUGGCCUCUGCUCAUCAAUUUCUUACAGAGGUGCUUCCUGACAGCCAGGCUGGUCGGACAGGGGGUGUGGGGGAGUUAGAUGGUGAGUGAUAGCCGUUUGCAGUCAGUUACCUCAAAUCCACUUUUCACUGUGCAGCCCGCAAAUCAUGUAGAAAGCCCCCGGCAUUUAGGGCUGGAGUAUUGGACUCUCACGUUUUCUACCGCAGUGCAAAGAACUGAGGAACAGUAGCACCUUCACAGGACCACGGCCAGAGAAAGCAGAAGAGGCCACGUGCAGAGCAACAGGGUGGCCUGGCCUGCUGUUCUUAGCUGGUCGUGCAAGGGAAAGCCUCAAGCAGGUCUCCUGGGUCCAACUGCCUCCACCUUGAGCGUCAGAUACGUCCCUGCCGGCCCCUCCUUCCUACGCCUCUUCAUUCCAGCCCUUCCUGUAGCCUCCCCUCCAGAGGCCUGUGGGAUUCCUCUGGACAAGUGCUUCUGAGAGGAAGUUUCUGGGCAGAUGGGGCUCUCUCCUCAGUGCUCCGUGGGUGGUCAUCCUAACAUCCCACAUGAUUCUUGGGGACCAUUUGGUCCUGGGUGAAAGUCAGCUCUGGCUAAAGUUCAGUAGUGGACAGAGUGCCCUGCCUCUGUGAUCUAGGGGCAGAGUUAACAUAGUUUCUAGCAUCUAGAGUUCCUUACUGAGUUUAGAUCCUUCAAGGAGCCAGCAUUUACUAAAUGCACAACUCCAACCACACCAUCUGGGUCAUUCCAUCACUUCUUCUGAUGUUCAUGGUGUCACAAGGUCACAUAGCUGCAACCGAAAUCUGGAACCUUGAAAAGUUACUGCAGAAUGCCUGUGAUGUUCCCAAACUCAUCCAUUCCAUUGGCAAGUCCAGUUGCCCCUUUGCACCUGAAGCUCUGUGCCCCUGAAGGGGGCAGCAAGGAGAGAGUAGGCUCAGGACUGAAGAAACCAUGUGACCUCCUCACCUUCCCCUGUGCCUCCAUCAAGCACGUUCUCGAUGCAAGCAGCUGAAUUGCGAUGCACAGAGACUUGGAAACCCCUUGAAAUGAAGAAAGAUUUUAAGUGGGCUUCAGCAUAUUGGAAGCUUGAAUAGGGUCCCCAAAUCCAUCUUGACUCUAACCUUAACCUCACACUUACCAUCUGAAGGUGACCUGAGUGUGCCCCUCUUCCUUACUCAUGGGCUUUAAAAGUCCUAGCAAAGCUGAUGGGAUCCAAGACACAUUCAGUGGCGAUAGUGGCACCUGGACCAGGCCCUUUGUGUCAGCAAAGGUCUGCUUGACUUUCCAUGAGGAGCUCACUGGCCGACCCGCUCCUCGGAGAGGAGAGGACGGAAAGUCAUCCCCAAGUUUCCCCCUGUCACUGAUGGCCAUGACUGGCAUUUGGGUUUGCUGCUUGAGUCCUGCUGAUCCAGAGCCAUGUGCCCUCCAGUUGACCCCACUCCACAAGCACAGGCCCACAGCUGCCCUUGGGGUCUUGGCUGAAAGAGCAGGUGGAGGAGGACAUCACCAUGGGAGCAUGGCCCUCACGUGGCCUUUCCUGAGUCCCAUGGACCUUGUGUCAGCAGCAGCAGCCAGAGGCUCACCCACCACUGCCACCCGGGCUCCUCAGCAGGGACUCGAUCCUUUCAAAGAAAUGUUUUAAGAGGAAUUUGGCAUCUCCCCCAUGUGAACCAAGGGAAUAUUUGGGCAAGAAAAAAACAGACAGGGAAAUCCUUCUGAACAAAAUGGCUGUCUUUAUUUACUCUUUUUAAACAAAAACUUUCCGAACUUUUUAGUGUCAAAACUGUAACCAAGUGUCUCCCAGUUUUUUCCAACGUGUUUGGCGAGUGCUGUGACCCUGUUGUCGGUAUUUCUCCUCCUGCCUCUCUUGGGGGAGAGGUGGUUUUAGGGAUUGGUUUGGAGGGAGCGAGUUUUCAUCCAAUCCCACCUCCUCUCUUGUUUCUCUGCUUGUCCAUGUCAUCUGUGUGGUUCAGAGAAUUGGGUUGGAUUCAUUGUGUCCAUUGUUGAGAUUAUUAAGAUAUUAAAAAGUAGUUGUAGAACUGAAAAAUUAAAGAGCUGUGUUUAAAAGAUGCAAACCAAUAUCACGUUAAUAAAGGAAUUCAAGCUAUGGAGCAGCCAGCCUCCUCCCCUGCUCCCGACCUGGGCAAGCGCAGUGGCCACAUCCAGGCUGGCAGCCACCUGGUGAGGGAGGCAGCGGGUGAAGAAGAGGAGCAGGAACCUGGGGCCCAGAGUCCAGUCGUGCCAGAGUUUGCCCACACAUCCUCAGGACCUCUGGUCAAGGUUUCCAGAUUGGUGACCCCUUAACCACCCUCACCCUACAUUGGUCCCAGCUCAGUGUGCCUAAUACCGUGUGGUUGCCUGGGCUUGGCUGGAGCCCCAUGCCUGGCAACAGCCCUGCACAGGCCAUAGAACCUCUUCCUGCCCACUUGGUGCUAUAUCAUCCAGUGACCCAUCCAAAAUGGGCCAAGCCCUGGCCAGCCUGGAGCCUGCAAUCCAGGGGAGAGAGUCCUAUCCCACCUUCUUCUGGCUUCAGUCCCUAGAUUCUUCCCUGUGAGCUCUUUAGACCCCAGGUCUCCUGGGCCCAGCAAUGCCCUGGCCAGGAAAGCAAGUGACCCCUGCUGAAGCCAGAGUCCAUCCUGGGCCGGGGCGGCCCCCUCCCACACCACAGCAGUAUUGCCUUCAUCCCUGGGCAGUAGACCCGAGGGCAGUCCGCCAUCUGGGGGUCCUGCGAGCACAGUGGGCUCCAGGGGUGCUCCCCUCGCUCCAAAAGGAGAGCCUCGCUUUAGUGAGGAGCUGAGGGCACUGGGGGCCGACUCUUCGUAGCUUGAGUUCCUUCUGGCGAUGGCAGCAGCCGCAAUGGUGGUGUCUUGAAUAGACACAUUGCUGCCUUCAAAUGUGUGUGCAACGGCCCGAGUUGUGUCACUGACAGGAUCGUGACAUUACAGAGAAAUUGUGUUAGAGUCAACUUUGCCUUGAUAAUUAUUGUAAACACUAUUCAUUUUUUUCUUUUUUAUUCACAAACUAAACCCAUCGGGAAAUUAUAAAGUUAUUUAAAAACUG